AACAUCUAAGAACAAAAACGCCAGAAGACAGCAAGUUAACACAGACUAUGGUGAUUAUUAGUAGUAGAAAUUAGAAGAAACAGGAGGAAGAGUUUUUACUUUUAGAAGCAGAAUUUUCAUUCCUUUUUUGUCCUGUGAUUCUACAUAAUACACUGCUAGGCAAAGUAAAAAGUUCAUGGAAUGAUUUUAAGGUAAUCAAUUCUAAACAAGAGAUUUGAUUUCUUCUUCAAGAUUUACUCCACUGCCAGAAAUGUCACCACCACCAUCAGCAAAUAUUUACAGAUUGCUAAUUUGGAGGAUUUUAUAUAUGCCAAGCAGGUGUCUUCAAAAGAGGACUAUAGAGGCUAUGAUGAGAGAUGCUGUGCAGCUCAGCUGGGUAUCAUGGCAGGACUCACAAGGGAGAUGUUUUAACAUGUGCUAUGUCAGCAAAGAGGACUUUUAUUUGGUAUCCAAAUGGUUUUAAACAACACUUGUUCUAAUUUGAACUUUAUGACUUGCUAUUUUUGAUACAGGUCUUUCACAGUAACAGGUAUAGUAAGACUGCAACAUACCCACAUUGGAGAACACAUGUUUUAACCUAAGUAAGUUAUUCAUUGAAGAGAAAAGAAAAAAAGGUUUGUCUAAUUCCCAGUUAAAAGAAAGCAAACUUCAGGGAUGCUAGAAAAACUAUUCUGUUAAUAUUUCUUCUCAUAAACUGCAGAGACACAUUUUUCUUUCAGGAAUUUAUAAAGGACAUCAGAACAUUAUAUACCUUCAUAUUUAAGUCUGAUUCUUUAGAAGUAUGUCUUAAUCCCAAUGAUUUCUUCAAAAAGAGCUUAUGGAAUUAAUUUAUCUACAUUCUGUUAAAUUUCAUUAGCCUUAGGAAGCUCAAUCACUAGGAAGCCAUUGAAAGACCACUGAGAUCAGAAUAUUCUCCAAUCAAAUGACAGGGUAAAAACAAAGAACUUAAUGAAUUUUUGGGGUUUUUUUUUGCAUCAUUUAACCAGUAUUUCUUUCCAGAAGGUCCAGUUUCUGACUCUGUAAUCAUCUAUCAUGACUGGAAUAUAACCCUCUUUCUGAAGAAGUGCUGAAAUGUGAGUGAAGGAGCAGCUGAGUCUGCUUUUUUUACCAAUAACAUCACUAUGAAAAAAAACAGAAGCAAAAAAAUGAUCACAGGCCAACCUUGAAAAAGGUGAACAGCAAACUCAGUGGGCAUAAAAAUUCCUCCCUUACGCUGCCUCAAGAGUUGUGGUUGCCCAGUGAAGCCACAAGCCAGCAUUGUCUACAAACAUAAUCAGAUAUAAAUCAGCCCACAAGAAGAUCUCCAUUUAUGGGACAACAUGAAAUGCACAGUGGAGGGUCUGAAAGCGGCAUUUCAACAACUGACAUCUGUUCUUUCAAGGUUUCACUGUAUGACUCUU